rnacentral:rRNA from 1 species
CAGCCGCCGCGGGAAUACGUAGGGUGCGAGCGUUAAUCGGAAUUACUGGGCGUAAAGCGUGCGCAGGCGGUUUUGUAAGACAGGCGUGAAAUCCCCGGGCUCAACCUGGGAAUGGCGCUUGUGACUGCAAAGCUAGAGUGCGGCAGAGGGGGAUGGAAUUCCGCGUGUAGCAGUGAAAUGCGUAGAUAUGCGGAGGAACACCGAUGGCGAAGGCAAUCCCCUGGGCCUGCACCGACGCUCAUGCACGAAAGCGUGGGGAGCAAACAGGAUUAGAUACCCGGGUAGUCCCUGUCUCUUAUAC